UUAAUUGAAGAGUUUGAUCAUGGCUCAGAUUGAACGCUGGCGGCAGGCCUAACACAUGCAAGUCGAGCGGUAGCACAGGAGAGCUUGCUCUCUGGGUGACGAGCGGCGGACGGGUGAGUAAUGUCUGGGAAACUGCCUGAUGGAGGGGGAUAACUACUGGAAACGGUAGCUAAUACCGCAUAACGUCUUCGGACCAAAGUGGGGGACCUUCGGGCCUCACGCCAUCAGAUGUGCCCAGAUGGGAUUAGCUAGUAGGUGGGGUAAUGGCUCACCUAGGCGACGAUCCCUAGCUGGUCUGAGAGGAUGACCAGCCACACUGGAACUGAGACACGGUCCAGACUCCUACGGGAGGCAGCAGUGGGGAAUAUUGCACAAUGGGCGCAAGCCUGAUGCAGCCAUGCCGCGUGUGUGAAGAAGGCCUUCGGGUUGUAAAGCACUUUCAGCGAGGAGGAAGGGUUCAGUGUUAAUAGCACUGU
rnacentral:rRNA from 1 species